rnacentral:rRNA from 1 species
UACGUAGGGCGCAAGCGUUGUCCGGAAUUAUUGGGCGUAAAGGGCGCGUAGGCGGCUUGGCAAGUGGAUGGUGAAAUCCCUCGGCUUAACCGAGGAACUGCCGUCCAAACUGCUUAGCUUGAGACCGGGAGAGGUGAGUGGAAUUCCCAGUGUAGCGGUGAAAUGCGUAGAUAUUGGGAGGAACACCAGUGGCGAAGGCGGCUCACUGGACCGGUACUGACGCUGAGGCGCGAAAGCGUGGGGAGCAAACGGG